rnacentral:rRNA from 1 species
CAGCAGCCACGGUAAUACGGAGGGUGCAAGCGUUAAUCGGAAUUACUGGGCGUAAAGCGCACGCAGGCGGUUUGUUAAGUCAGAUGUGAAAUCCCCGGGCUCAACCUGGGAACUGCAUUUGAAACUGGCAAGCUAGAGUCUCGUAGAGGGGGGUAGAAUUCCAGGUGUAGCGGUGAAAUGCGUAGAGAUCUGGAGGAAUACCGGUGGCGAAGGCGGCCCCCUGGACAAAGACUGACGCUCAGGUGCGAAAGCGUGGGGAGCAAACAGGAUUAGAUACCCCAGUAGUCCCUGUCUCUUAUAC